CCUACGGGUGGCAGCAGUGAGGAAUAUUGGUCAAUGGACGAGAGUCUGAACCAGCGCAGUAGCGUGAAGGAUGACUGCCCUAUGGGUUGAAAACUUCUUUUAUAUGGGAAUAAAACAGGGUAUGCAUACCCUCUUGUAUGUACCAUAUGAAUAAGGAUAGGAUAACUCCGUGCCAGCAGCCGCGGUAAUACGGAGGAUACGAGCGGUAUCCGGAGUUAAUGGGUUUAAAGGGAACGUAGGUGGAUUGUUAAGUCAGUUGUGAAAGUUUGCGGCUCAACCGUAAAAUUGCAUUUGAAACUGGCAGUCUGGAGUACAUUAGAGGUGGGCGGAAUUCGUGGUGUAGCGGUGAAAUGCUUAGAUAUCACGAAGAACUCCGAUGGCGAAGGCAGCUCACUGGACUGCAACUGACACUGAUGCUCGAAAGUGUGGGUAUCAAACAGGAUUAGAUACCCCUGUAGUC
rnacentral:rRNA from 1 species